GAGCGCUUCUUUGCUUCCGUCCGCCAUUAACGUCUCCAUUGAUGCUCUGUUUCAAAGGCCUGCGACGUCUUGCCUAGGGAUAUUCAGGCGCACUAGUUGUCGAGCAUCACCGGUGCUGCUCGGUUCCCAUGAAUUCAAGCUCCAGCAUGGAACUCUCUAGAGCGUCGAAGUCCACAAAAGCAGGUCCCAAAGCCGGCACUCUGGAAUAGGCAGUUGAAGCGUUGAAAAGGGAAACAAAUUGAUGACGAUGCCAAAAAGAAAAGUUAAGUUCUAGGAUGGAGAGUGAUUUGGAGGAAAAAAUCAUAUCUUAUUCAGCGAAAAUUGUGAUGUCAAGAAGUGCUGAGGGACAAAGUGGCCAAAUUUGAAGCGGGUUUGUAUUCCAUGCUCUCUAACGCUCUUCCGUUUCAUGUUAGAGAAUGAGUUGAAGUUGGAAUAAUAUGAAGAAUUCAAGAUUUCUUUGAAACCUCUUUUUUCAAUGGGGUGAACACCGACUUGAAUGCUAUCAUGAUGGAUUGACGAAUAUCCACGAUGAAUGAAUAUGAGAUGGAAGGGGAUGAUGUUCUUGCAGUCGAACGACGAACUGUUUGAUUGAUUUCUCUAGUAAAUUCGAGAAAUAAUGCUUUUCAUGAA